rnacentral:rRNA from 1 species
UACGAAGGGGGCUAGCGUUGCUCGGAAUUACUGGGCGUAAAGCGCACGUAGGCGGCUUUCUAAGUCGGGGGUGAAAUCCUGGAGCUCAACUCCAGAACUGCCUUCGAUACUGGAGAGCUCGAGUCCGGGAGAGGUGAGUGGAACUGGCGAGUGUAGAGGUGAAAUUCGUAGAUAUUCGCAAGAACACCAGUGGCGAAGGCGGCUCACUGGCCCGGUACUGACGCUGAGGUGCGAAAGCGUGGGGAGCAACAGGG